GGGGAGGUCGAAGAAGAUGGGGUGUUAGAGGAGGCGAGGAAAGAAGAAGGAAGAAAAUAGAUAAGUAUGAGAAAAGGUUAUAGACUCAACAUUAACCCGUCCGCUGCGAUUGGCACGGAUUUGGCUUUCACUGGUAGCCUGGUGAACUUAUAAUCCCAGGUCUUUCUCUGCCUCUGUGGUGGAUAGUGGAGUGUUUCCCAUGUGGUAUUGGUGUGCUGGAUAUCCCUUCACUGGUAGCCUGGUCACAUAUGCUCCCAGGUCUUUCUCUGCCUCUGUGGUGGAUAGUGGAGUGUUUCCCAUGUGGUAUUGGUGUGCUGGAUAUCCCUUCACUGGUAGCCUGGUCACAUACACUCCCAGGUCUUUCUCUGCCUCUGUGGUGGAUAGUGGAGUGUCUCCCAUGUGGUAUUGGUGUGCUGGAUAUCCCUUCACUGGUAGCCUGGUAACAUACACUCCCAGGUCUUUCUCUGCCUCUGUGGUGGAUAGUGGAGUGUUUCCCAUGUGGUAUUGGUGUGCUGGAUAUCCCUUCACUGGUAGCCUGGUCACAUAUGCUCCCAGGUCUUUCUCUGCCUCUGUGGUGGAUAGUGGAGUGUUUCCCAUGUGGUAUUGGUGUGCUGGAUAUCCCUUCACUGGUAGCCUGGUAACAUACACUCCCAGGUCUUUCUCUGCCUCUGUGGUGGAUAGUGGAGUGUUUCCCAUGUGGUAUUGGUGUGCUGGAUAUCCCUUCACUGGUAGCCUGGUAACAUACACUCCCAGGUCUUUCUCUGCCUCUGUGGUGGAUAGUGGAGUGUUUCCCAUGUGGUAUUGGUGUGCUGGAUAUCCCUUCACUGGUAGCCUGGUUACAUACACUCCCAGGUCUUUCUCUGCCUCUGUGGUGGAUAGUGGAGUGUUUCCCAUGUGGUAUUGGUGUGCUGGAUAUCCCUUCACUGGUAGCGUGGUAACACACACUCCCAGGUCUUUCUCUGCCUCUGUGGUGGAUAGUGGAGUGUUUCCCAUGUGGUAUUGGUGUGCUGGAUAUCCCUUCACUGGUAGCGUGGUAACACACAC